rnacentral:rRNA from 1 species
ACUCAAAGGAAUUGACGGGGGCCCGCACAAGCAGCGGAGCGUGUGGUUUAAUUCGACGCAACACGCAGCACCUUACCCAGACUGGACAUGCGAGUGCAAGCCGUGGAAACGCGGUCGCCUUCGAGGGUCUCGCACAGAUGCUGCAUGGCUGUCGUCAGCUCGUGUCGUGAGAUGUUGGGUUCAGUCCCGCAACGAGCGCAACCCCCGCGGUCAGUUACCUGUGUCUGACCGGACAGCCCUUCGGGGAGGAAGGCGGGGAUGACGUCAAGUCCGCAUGGCUCUUACGUCUGGGGCAACACACACGCUACAAUGGCCGAAGCAGAGCGUCGCGACGGAGCAAUCCGGGGCAAAUCGCCAAGGUCGGUCUCAGUGCAGAUCGGGGGCUGCAACUCGCCCCCGUGAAGGCGGAGUUGCUAGUAACCGCGUAUCAGCGAUGGCGCGGUGAAUACGUACCCGGGCCUUGUACACACCGCCCGU